CAGCAUUCAAGCAGCUCGAAGGCCGCGGCCUCUGUUCCCAUCAAAAUCUCUCAAUGUGUCUCUCUCUCUCUCUCUCUGGGGAAGAAGAAGGUGUGAUGAUGAAGAUGUUUAAUCUCGUUAAUCCGAGGACUCUUUCACAAAGAAGAGUGAUAUGAGGAUACUGUCUCCAUCCAUUCUUGACAGAUUCUGAGCACCUUCUGUCUUUCUUCACUUCCCCCUCUUUUUUCUUCGCUCAAUUUUUUUUUUCCUUUCACUCUUUUGAAACUUUUCUGUAUUCAGAGUCACGAGCUUUCGGAAAUGCUUCCCUCCGAUCUAUAUAUUAUUUGUAUCUCCCUUCUGUUUUUGGUGCUUUUCAAUUGAUGAAUUAAUGGGCAACGUUGUACACACACACACACACACACACACAAACACAAAAGAGUAUUGAUCUGGGUAACAUUGAGGGCAUGGCUGGUAAAGUGAUAAUUCAGUGAAACUAAGGUUAUCGUUUGUUUUUAUUGUUUCUGGAAGCAAAAUAUUCAUGUAAAUGGGAUUUUUCUUAUAUGAAGGCUUUAGCGAUGCCCAUAUGUGCUUUAUGCCAAGCUCCAGCUAGUGGUGUUGUUAGCCCAGCAGGUGCUGUCAGUUCCAUAUUCAGGAUGAUACAAGUUAUUUUGAUUUGGAAAAAUUUGCCGAGAUGUCAAUAGAACUGUUGAGCAGAGAGCGUGGCAAACAUGAAGGUAGAUCCUGAUACUGAUCACUGAUAUCCCACAUAAUGGGGAAACAGGCAAGGGCAGAAAGACCAGGGAUGAUGAAUUCACUGCAAUGCUAGCUUAUAUAAUCAUUGAAGCAUUACCCUAUUUCAGGGUGUAAGGAAACAAAGUAUUCUGAUAUUUGUUUAAAUGCAUUUCCAUUAUUUAAAAAUGGUUCAAUACUUUUCAUAAGGUUUGAGUUGCAGAAAGAGAUGCAGCUCAUCUCCAAUUCCA